rnacentral:rRNA from 1 species
AGCAGCCGCGCUAAUUCCAGCUCCAAUAGCGUAUAUUAAAGUUGUUGCAGUUAAAAAGCUCGUAGUUGAAUUUCGGGGUUCUACCGUUGGUCGGGCUUUGUCUGUACUGGCGUGUAGAAUUUCUACCUUCUGGGGAACCAUCAUGUUAUUAAUUUAACGUGGUGGGAAACCAGGACCUUUACCUUGAAAAAAUUAGAGUGUUCAAAGCAGGCUUAUGUCUGAAUACAUUAGCAUGGAAUAAUAAAAUAGGACGGUGGUCCUGUUUUGUUGGUUUCUGAAUCACCGUAAUGAUUAAUAGGGAUAGUUGGGGGCAUUAGUAUUCAAUUGUCAGAGGUGAAAUUCUUGGAUUUAU